UGGGGAAUUUUGGACAAUGGGGGAAACCCUGAUCCAGCCAUCCCGCGUGUGCGAUGAAGGCCUUCGGGUUGUAAAGCACUUUUGGCAGGAAAGAAACGUCAUGGGUUAAUACCCCGUGAAACUGACGGUACCUGCAGAAUAAGCACCGGCUAACUACGUGCCAGCAGCCGCGGUAAUACGUAGGGUGCAAGCGUUAAUCGGAAUUACUGGGCGUAAAGCGUGCGCAGGCGGUUCGGAAAGAAAGAUGUGAAAUCCCAGAGCUCAACUUUGGAACUGCAUUUUUAACUACCGGGCUAGAGUGUGUCAGAGGGAGGUGGAAUUCCGCGUGUAGCAGUGAAAUGCGUAGAGAUGCGGAGGAACACCGAUGGCGAAGGCAGCCUCCUGGGAUAACACUGACGCUCAUGCACGAAAGCGUGGGGAGCAAACAGG
rnacentral:rRNA from 1 species